CACGUAGGGUGCGAGCGUUGUCCGGAAUUAUUGGGCGUAAAGAGCGUGUAGGCGGUCCGGUAAGUCAGCUGUGAAAGUCAAGGGCUCAACCCUUGAAUGCCGGUUGAUACUGUCGGGCUAGAGUGCGGGAGAGGCGAGUGGAAUUCCUGGUGUAGCGGUGGAAUGCGCAGAUAUCAGGAGGAACACCAAUAGCGAAGGCAGCUCGCUGGGACGUUACUGACACUGGAGGCGCGAAAGCGUGGGGAGCGAACAGG
rnacentral:rRNA from 1 species